rnacentral:lncRNA from 1 species
CUUACCGUGAUUGUUCAGUUGUUAACCGAGCUAAACUAAAAAAAAAAAUUUCCCCAGUGAUUUGAUUCAUCAAUAGGGGACCAUCCAGGAAGUUGCUUCUUGGAAUGCCGUCGUUCAAGCACAGGCUGACCACUGAUUCAAUCUUGAAACCGAUCUUACUACUAGAAACCCGAAGGAGCACACAAAGCAAACGAAGGGACUCACCAAGCAACAACUACGUUGUUUGCGUAGGCGGAAUCUAGUUUCAAAUCAUAAGAUGACGAAGUGACUGCACCAACGAAUCAAGCUGAACACAUGUUUGUUUGAUCCACUCUACGAACCGAAAGCGAGAUCUUGCAAAACAACCACGCAACGCCCGGAUCUGCAAGAAUGGCUAUGUAGGUAAGGUUCUGAAAGAAUGAUCGCUUUGAGUUCUGCUUGAAGUGUGUAUGCUUACGUACGAGUUGCUAUUCGGCCGUAGAUCGGGUUCUGGGUUCUUCCCUCGAACUCCCCGAGUGGUAUUUCAUAAUGUAAAGCUAGUCUAAAGCAGAUUCAGGAUCGAGGGCGGUGGGUGGGGUAGGAAGGUCGAUGAUAAUAUAAAAUUCUUUAUCCUAUUCUGCUAAUUCUCUUCUUGUUGCACCAUGUCCAAGCUUGACGAUAGCAGUGGAACAAAAGUCACCAUCGGAUUCAAAGAAUGAACCUUCCUUCCAAGAUGUAUGUCGUCCGACCCAACCUCAGACUCUUUCUUCCCGACCUAUUUGACUCUCUGGCCGCAGUUAUUUAGGUGGUAUCCCGAGAUUGAAGAGAUCGAAUUCCUCCCGCCUGCAUAACCGAUGCAGUUAGCUCAAAAGGGAGUUCAGUCACUUCCGGAUCCGGAUUCAAUGAUUGUUGAGUGAACGAAGCCAAGUGGCUUGAGAGAUGCGAAACCUUAAGUGGCGGAUGAGUCCCUAUCGCCUGUUUCCGCUGGGCGAAGAAUGAACACUCAACUGCUAGGUUGAGGUUCUGAAAGAGAGGUCUCUAA